rnacentral:lncRNA from 1 species
AUAAAUUACUUGUGAGAUUGAACAUAAAGGACAAUUUUGUACUUGCUUAUAAAGAUAAUUUCUAAGGAUUUAGUAACUUUUAGCAUUUAUAUUUGAAGGAAGGAAUUCCAGUAAACAUUAUUUGUUCCAAAGUACAAAUUAAAUUUGACAUGCCUGUUGCUUAAGGCUGUGUUUGGUGAGGACUGAACUGGUCUUCACAUUUUUGUCUUUUCUAUUAAUUUUCUUCCCCCAGCAAAGACUCAAUUGGGUCUCUGCUACAACACUAGACCAGCGCUGGAAAGUUCUGUAAAGGGACAGAGAAUGAAUAGUUCAGUUUUGUAGGCCACAUGGUUUCUGUUGUAACUACUCAGAUCUGCUGUAUGGCCAGAGCAGCUCUGGGCAGUAUGUAAAUGAGUAGCCUGCGUGUCUUCUGGUCAGACUUUAUUCACAAGAACAGGAGGCCAGCUGCCCUGCUGGCCGAGAUCUACCCGCUCUCGCUAUACUGGAGAAUCCAGGCCUCUGCGUUUCAUUUUACCCACAGCACAGUGCCCGGCAAACAGUGAACUUUCAGUACACAUUUGCUUCAAUGAAUCUUGUUUUUUUCUGGCCAAAUUAGGUAAAGC